ACAAUUCUCCCAGCCUGGCCUUUCUGGCAGCCUGGGCUGCCUAGCUCCUCCCCUUCUCCCCGCUCCGCCCUCGCCCUCCAUCCCAGCCCACAUUUAUUUGUCUCUGUUGCCGCCUCUGCUUCCCAGCGCUCUGCCCUGGCUGCUCUCUGGAGUCCUGCAUAGCUGUAGAUAAAACGACAACUUGUGGGAGUCUCUGUCCUUCCAAAGUGAGCCUUGAGGCAGAACGACACUUACCAGGCAUGCUGCCAACAGUGCCACACCUGCCUUGCUCCCGUGCAACGGAGGCCACGUGAAGCCACACCACGUGAAGCCACACCACGUGAAGCCACGCCACGUGAAGCCACGCCACGUGAAGCCACGCGACCCCAUCUUUCCCGAAGUACUCUCCAGGCCUAGAUUCAUGGAUUCACGGAUAUUGAUUCACACGCUGCAAUCUAUUGCGACGACGACGUUAAUUAUGUUGCUCCUGUUGUGAGAGCUCUUCCAUUAUUGGCUCCUCUGUGGAAAAAUGACACAGCAGAGAAAAGGAACUGCGUGGGAACACCAAAAACAAGACACAGAUGACCACAGGCGGCACCGAGCAGUGGUCCUGCCUCAUUGGUACAGCACCCGACCCUGGCACAGUAUAUAGAGCAUGAAUUGGUAAUAAAACAGCCAGUAAGCAGAUCAUGUAAGAGCAACAUAAAUACAAGCAGGUUGU